rnacentral:rRNA from 1 species
GAUGAACGCUGGCGGCGUGCCUAAUACAUGCAAGUAGAACGCUGAAGGAGGAGCUUGCUUCUCUGGAUGAGUUGCGAACGGGUGAGUAACGCGUAGGUAACCUGCCUGGUAGCGGGGGAUAACAAUUGGAAACGAUAGCUAAUACCGCAUAAGAGAAGAUGUUGCAUGACAUUCGCUUAAAAGGUGCAAUUGCGUCACUACCAGAAGGACCUGCGUUGUAUUAUCUAGUGGGUGGGGUAAGGGCACACCAAGGCGACGAUACAGACCCGACCUGAGAGGGUGAGCGGCCACUGUGGGAGUGAGACGCGCCCCAGACUCCUACGAGGGGCAGUAGGGGAACUUCGGCAAUGGACGGAAGUCUUACCGAGCAACGCCGGGGGAGUGGAGGAGGUUUUCGGAUUGUAAAGCUCUGUUUUUAGGGAAGGACGAGUGUGAGAGUGGAAAGUUCACACUGUGACGGUAUCUUACCAGAAAGGGACGGCUAACUACGUG